rnacentral:misc_RNA from 1 species
GUUAUAGUGACAAUUCCAACGGUAUGCCCUGAGAUCUCCUUUUCUGAUAUGGACAGUAACUUCUUAGGUAAUAUAAAGGCCAAAUGACCUAAAAAUCCAAAGCUUUUGGUGAAUUUGCAAUUUUUUAAAAUCCCUUUAAUUUUAUUAAUUUUAGCUUCAUAGACAUAGAGCAUGCCUCUCCAAAGCAUGUAACUCUAAAUGAACAUAAUUUGGCAAAACUUUUAUGCUGCCAUUACACCCACACCCACACAUGGACUAUACUCUAUUGCCCCCAUCCACUUGCCAUUCAUAAAAGUGUUGCCUUUUUAUGAAUUGUGAUUGCAGUUGACUGCUUUGCAUGGUUUUCCUUCAUCUAAGUAAAUUAUUCUAUAUGAAACAAAUAUUUUGGAAUAUUUAUCCAUGGUAAUAUUUGAUUGUCACAAAGCAGCUUUGCAGAGAAAAAUGACUUUCAAGUACUUGCUUUAACAUUAAUUUAAUUAAUCACCUAGCGUCUGUUUAUUUUUUGACCAUUUAAGGUUAUGGCAGUAAAUGAGUCAGC